GGGGUUGUGGCUCAGCGGUAGAGUGUUCACCUAGCAUGUGUGAGGCCCUGGGUUCAAUCCUCAGCACCACA
rnacentral:tRNA from 1 species